UCUCCGUUGGUGAACCAGCGGAGGGAUCAUUACAGAGUUGCAAAACUCCCAAACCAUUGUGAACGUUACCUAUCCCGUUGCUUCGGCGGGCGGCCCGGGCCCCGCGCCCGGCGCCCCCCGGCCCCCCGUGGGCGCCCGCCGGAGGUAAACCAAACCCUUGAAUUGCAUGGCCUCUCUGAGUCUUCUGUAUUGAAUAAGUCAAAACUUUCAACAACGGAUCUCUUGGUUCUG
rnacentral:misc_RNA from 1 species